AGACCCCAUAGAAGCCCCACAAGACCCCAUAACGACCCCAUAGCAACCCGUAAGACCCCAUAGAACGCCUUAAAACCCCAUAGAACCCCAAUAAGACCCCAUACGAACCCCAUACCGGGCUGCUGGCCGGCAACUAUGGGGUCCUAUGGGGUCUUAUGGGGUCCUAUGGGGUCUUGUGGGGUCCUAUGGGGUCUUAUGGGGUCCUAUGGGGUCUUAUGGGGUUCUAUGGGGUCUUAUGGGGUUCUAUGGGGUCUUGUGGGGUCCUAUGGGGUCUUAUGGGGUCCUAUGGGGUCUUAUGGGGUUCUAUGGGGUCUUGUGGGGUCCUAUGGGGACAUGGGGGGUCCUAUGGGGUCCUAUUGGGUCUUGGGGGGUCCUAUGGGGUCUUACAGGGCCUUGUGGAGUUCUAUGGGGUCUUGUGGGGUUCUAUGGGGUCUUAUGGGGCCCUAUGGGAUUAUAUGGGGUCUUGGGGGUCCUAUGGGGUCUUGGGGGGUCUUAAGGGGUCUAGGGGUUCCUAUGGGAUCCCGGGGGGUCCUGCAUUGUCUUGUGGGGUCCUGUGGGGUCUUAUGGAGCCCUAUGGGAUUAUAUGGGGUCUUAAGGUUCCUAUGGGAUGUUGGGUGGCCUGUGUUGCCCUAUGGAUUCUAUGGGUCUGCCCUAUGGAUCCUAUGGGUCUGCCCUAUGGAUCCUAUGGGUCUGCCCUAUGGAUCCUAUGGGUCUGCCCUAUGGAUUCUAUGGGGCUGCCCCUAUGGAUCCUAUGGGGCUGUGUUGCCCUAUG
rnacentral:lncRNA from 1 species